rnacentral:ncRNA from 1 species
GCGGAGGCGCACUGGUGCCAGCCCCGGACGAGACGUGCGCCGUACCCGGCCUGCUAAGACGACGCACU